ensembl:lncRNA FAM27E3 family with sequence similarity 27 member E3
CGAGAGGCAUUGAGGCACUUGAGAAACAGACCGUAUUGUGGUGUGGCUUCAUUUCUCAGAGAAGAGCCGUGAAAAGAUACAAGCAUCUUCUCUGACGUGGGUCCGCUGGUCUCCGGCGGGACAAAGAGCUCCUGUGGGGCUCGUGUCCUCGUCUGCAGUGUGUUCAUCUUGAUCCUAGAAAAGAGACCGCUCAGGAUGGGGAUAUUUCAAUUGCUCCGGGACCGAAGAAUCUCCUCACGUGGGCCAGGCCUUCACACACCCAAAGCGGAACCGCGUCGGCGAAAAGGAUUGACAACCGGUCUCAUGACCCAGGCAGAGAGGCAGAAACAGGCUCACCAAAGACAGGCCGCCAUGCGAGAAACAGCUUUGUGGUGCACAGGGCACAUUCGGCCAAGGACACACACGCACACGGGCACACACACACAAACCGACAGAGAGAGGGAAAGAAACACACAGAGACUGAGAGACAGAGAGAGAAGAGAGAAUGGGAGACACACACACACAUACACACACAGACACACACACAGAGUCUUAUAGCAAAGGCAUUGAAAGACACACACCCAGGCAACCCCUGAGGCUGUGGGGUUCUGCUUUCGACGAGAACGACCCUUCGGUGAGAGAGCACCCCAGGGGCACGCAGGCCGUCCUGUCCUCGAGAUCACCGCGUCACGACUUUUGGGGAGACUCACCCCCACCAACACCGUCCAGAGAGGCCUGAGGGAGGGAUUCCAUGCUGCCUUCUCCGGACUCUGCGUCGGGUUUCCUCACCCUGUUCGGCCCUUUGUGACUCUUGGCAUCCGGAGACUUUCCCCUCGACCCAGUGGAGCCGUCAGGCCGGAGCCUCAGAGCCUUGACACCCAAGCACUGCCACGGAAGUCUCCCCCUUUGCCAAGCCUCGGGGACUGGUUUCUAAGACAACCGUGGGAACCACUGUGACGGGAGAAACCGCUUGUGCUUCGCGCAUGCGCAUUGGCUGGGCCGACUCUUUCUCCCCUCCUGGCAGUCAGGCUGCGUCCCCUUUAAAGAACGCCACCGCUGAGAACUGACCCUCACAUCUCCCUUCCUGAAUUUCUUUAGGGAAAGCAACAACCAUCCCUGUAAGCCAUGGGUUUUCAUGCGGAGGAAGGAGAGGGCUAGUUGUCUGAGAGGGUAACUGCUUAAGGCUGCAGACUAGGAAAUGGGAUUCCAGGUUUAAGAUAGCUCCUUUCUGGACCUCAGUCCUUCACCUAGUCACCUAGUCACAGGGUGGAUUGCCUCUAAGGAUACUUAGGGGAAAAGGAACCAAAUUUGGGAUGGUUCUCCUUGCUUUAAGCCUUGAUAGGAGACGGGGAGGCCAACCCUUCUCUGCAGACCGUGAUCCUCACUAGACAGAGGAGCUCCAAACCUGCCCAUCUCAUCCCAUGCACCGACGGUGCCUGGCCUGGCUCCAAACUCCCGAAAGGAACUAUUUUACAGGUGCCAAAAAGGGGACAGUGUUGAUAAUAAUAAUAAAAUGAAACAAUCUGAUUGGGGCAUUGCUGGAUCAGAAAAUGUGUGACCUUUUUAAAGUUAAAUUGUUAAAAAAUUUUAACUAUUAAACAUUUUAAAUAUUAA